rnacentral:rRNA from 1 species
GUGAGGAAUAUUGGUCAAUGGGCGCAAGCCUGAACCAGCCAUCCCGCGUGCAGGAAGACGGCCCUAUGGGUUGUAAACUGCUUUUCCGGGGGGAGAAUUUUUCCGUCGUGACGGGAAUUGACGGUACCCCGGGAAUAAGCAUCGGCUAACUCCGUGCCAGCAGCCGCGGUAAUACGGAGGAUGCGAGCGUUAUCCGGAUUUAUUGGGUUUAAAGGGUGCGUAGGCGGAAUGAUAAGUCAGUGGUGAAAACCUGCAGCUUAACUGUAGACUUGCCGUUGAUACUGUCAGUCUUGAGUGUGGUCAAGGUAGGCGGAAUGUGUAAUGUAGCGGUGAAAUGCUUAGAUAUUACACAGAACACCGAUUGCGAAGGCAGCUUACUGGGCCAUUACUGACGCUGAUGCACGAAAGCGUGGGGAUCGAACAGGAUUAGAAACCCCAGUAGUCC